rnacentral:lncRNA from 1 species
AUUUGCUUUUGUUUGUUGGAAGCUGAGGGAGUACGUUGAUGAUACAGAGGACUACAUUAACAUAAUGCUGGAUGACAAACAGAAUCAUCUUCUGCAAAUGGGGGUCAUGCUAACGACAGCAACCCUUGUGGUGAGUGCAUUUGUUGUUGUGGCUGGUAUUUUCGGGAUGAAUAUCAACAUCGAGCUGUUCGAUGAGCAUAAAUCAGGGAUGCAAGAGUUUCUCUGGACUGUUGGUGGCGGCGCCACUGGCAGCAUAUUCCUAUAUGUUGUUGCCAUUGCCUGGUGCAAGCACAAACGUUUGCUGGAGUAAUAUAAUCCUGCUGUGUAUCAGUAAAGAAGCAAUUGAUUUCAGGAGCUGUUGUGUCGAUGGAUUUACUAUGUACAAACAUAAACGCACCCUUUGAUAAGCUGGAGCAUGCAUCCUGUUUUUUUGUGAAUACUAUGAGAUAUGCUUCGAGUGCAGGGAACAUUAAUAUUUAAUAUUUAAUACACUUUCUACGUGCCUGAAGAUUCGUAAUUGAUAAUGUAACGUGAUCACUAUAAACUAUUCUGAUGAGCAACGUAGCAGUUGACGGAAACGUAUUUUUAAUAAAUAUCAUUAGUUCGCUUCCAAAAGUUUUCGUUUCGACUCUUGUCAAUGAUGCUGCCACUCGAUUAAUUAAUUAAAAUUUUCAGAUAUCUUGCAAUUAAUCAAAUUUAUCUGCAGUCAGCGUACUACAAACGGAUCAAACAGCAUUGACCAUGAGAAUCUACCCGCCACGAUCUAGACCUGAACAUGAAGACAACCCUGAUCCGACGCAACAGCCCACCACUAACCUGGCAGUCACCUCGGUUGGGGGGAUCCGGAAGAAGGUAGCCGGAGUUCGACCCUGGUUGGUUUUAGAUUCAACCGGGCAGACGCAGGUGGUGGAAGCCGGAAAGCACGCCAUCAUGAGGCGGACGGGGCUGCCAGCCCGGGACCUUCGGAUCCUUGAUCCGAUGCUCUCAUACCCAUCAACUAUACUGGGUCGAGAAAGUGCCAUAGUCAUCAAUUUGGAGCAGAUCAAGGCCAUCAUCACUGCACAGGAAGUCCUUUUGCUGAACUCUAGAGACCCUUCUGUUGCUCCCUUUGUUGAAGAGUUGAAAAGGAGGAUUUUGUGUCACUAUCAGGCCACUAAAGCUCAG